rnacentral:rRNA from 1 species
UACGUAGGGUGCGAGCGUUAAUCGGAAUUACUGGGCGUAAAGCGUGCGUAGGCGGUUUGUUAAGUCUGUUGUGAAAUCCCCGGGCUCAACCUGGGAAUGGCAAUGGAUACUGGCAAGCUAGAGUGUGUCAGAGGAUGGUGGAAUUCCCGGUGUAGCGGUGAAAUGCGUAGAGAUCGGGAGGAACAUCAGUGGCGAAGGCGGCUUUCUGGACGAUAACUGACGCUGAGACGCGAAAGCGUGGGGAGCAAACAGG